rnacentral:lncRNA from 1 species
CUCUAAGAUGGAACACUUCUUCUUUUGGACACAUACAUUGUAUAUUCUUAUUUAACACUAGAAGUAUGCACUAAAUUUCCUUUAACACAGUUUGUUUUCCCAGAGUCAAAAUUGUUGACGUUGUGAUGAUGAGGAAAAAAAUGGGCUUGGGAAUGAAUUUAUAAUGAUUUUUUGGGAUAUUUCAAAAUAGUUUUAGGGAUAUGGGAUAUUUGUAAAAAAUAUUUAUUGGGAUAUUAGGGGUAAACAUUAUAGGGAUACGGGAUAUUGGGAUAAAAACUUAAUGGGAUAUGGGAUAUUGAUACCCCCCCUAAACAAGCCUCAAAUAUU